UACAGAGGGUGCGAGCGUUAAUCGGAAUUACUGGGCGUAAAGGGUGCGUAGGUGGUUAAAUAAGUUAGGUGUGAAAUUCCUGGGCUCAACUUGGGGACUGCGCCUGAUACUGUUUGACUAGAGUACUGUAGAGGGAAGUGGAAUUUCCGGUGUAGCGGUGAAAUGCGUAGAUAUCGGAAGGAACAUCAGUGGCGAAGGCGAUUUUCUGGACAGAUACUGACACUGAGGCACGAAGGCUAGGGGAGCAAACGGG
rnacentral:rRNA from 1 species